CCUUCAUGGGAGAUGAUUGAAAGAUGGUUUCGGCUAUCACUUACAGAUGGGCCCGCGGUGCAUUAGCUAGUUGGUGAGGUAACGGCUCACCAAGGCAACGAUGCAUAGCCGACCUGAGAGGGUGAUCGGCCACACUGGGACUGAGACACGGCCCAGACUCCUACGGGAGGCAGCAGUAGGGAAUCUUCCGCAAUGGACGAAAGUCUGACGGAGCAACGCCGCGUGAGUGAUGAAGGCUUUCGGGUCGUAAAACUCUGUUGUUAGGGAAGAACAAGUACAAGAGUAACUGCUUGUACCUUGACGGUACCUAACCAGAAAGCCACGGCUAACUACGUGCCAGCAGCCGCGGUAAUACGUAGGUGGCAAGCGUUAUCCGGAAUUAUUGGGCGUAAAGCGCGCGCAGGCGGUUUCUUAAGUCUGAUGUGAAAGCCCACGGCUCAACCGUGGAGGGUCAUUGGAAACUGGGGAACUUGAGUGCAGAAGAGAAAAGCGGAAUUCCACGUGUAGCGGUGAAAUGCGUAGAGAUGUGGAGGAAC
rnacentral:rRNA from 2 species